GGUUGGUCUGAUGGUAGUGGGUUAUGAGAACUUAUUAACAUUGGUGUCACUAAUGUUGGUAUACAACUCCCACUGCUAAAUUAGACAGGCUUAAA
rnacentral:Y_RNA from 1 species